rnacentral:rRNA from 1 species
UACGGGGGGAGCAAGCGUUGUUCGGAUUUACUGGGCGUAAAGGGCGCGUAGGCGGCCACCGCAAGUCGGUUGUGAAAUCUCCGGGCUUAACCCGGAAAGGUCAAUCGAUACUGCGGGGCUAGAGUGCAGAAGGGGCAACUGGAAUUCCUGGUGUAGCGGUGAAAUGCGCAGAUAUCAGGAAGAACACCUAUGGCGAAGGCAGCUCUCUGGGACGGUACUGACGCUGAGACGCGAAAAGCGUGGGGAGCGAACAGG